UAGCGGCGGACGGGUGAGUAACGCGUGAGCAACCUGUCCUUCACAGGGGGAUAACACAGCGAAAGUUGUACUAAUACCGCAUAAGACCACGGAGGGGCAUCCCUGAGGGGUCAAAGGAGGAAUCCGGUGAAGGGUGGGCUCGCGUCCGAUUAGAUAGUUGGUGAGUAACGGCCACCAAGUCAACGAUCGGUAGCCGACCUGAGAGGGUGAUCGGCCACAUUGGGACUGAGACACGGCCCAAACUCCUACGGGAGGCAGCAGGUGGGGAAUAUUGGGCAAUGGGGGAACCCUGACCCAGCAACGCCGCGUGAGGGAAGAAGGUUUUCGGAUCGUAAACCUCUGUCCUUGGUGAAGAGAAGGAGACGGUAGCCAAGGAGGAAGCCCGGCUAACUACGUGCC
rnacentral:rRNA from 1 species